rnacentral:rRNA from 1 species
UACGGAGGAUCCAAGCGUUAUCCGGAUUUAUUGGGUUUAAAGGGUGCGUAGGCGGCCUAUUAAGUCAGGGGUGAAAGACGGUAGCUCAACUAUCGCAGUGCCCUUGAUACUGAUGGGCUUGAAUGGACUAGAGGUAGGCGGAAUGUGACAAGUAGCGGUGAAAUGCAUAGAUAUGUCACAGAACACCGAUUGCGAAGGCAGCUUACUAUGGUCUUAUUGACGCUGAGGCACGAAAGCGUGGGGAUCAAACAGG